UACGAAGGGGGCUAGCGUUGCUCGGAAUCACUGGGCGUAAAGCGCACGUAGGCGGCUUUCUAAGUCAGGGGUGAAAUCCUGGAGCUCAACUCCAGAACUGCCUUUGAUACUGGAGAGCUUGAGUCCGGAAGAGGUGAGUGGAACUCCGGAGUGUAGAGGUGAAAUUCGUAGAUAUUCGGAAGAACACCAGUGGCGAAGGCGGCUCACUGGUCCGGUACUGACGCUGAGGUGCGAAAGCGUGGGGAGCGAACAGG
rnacentral:rRNA from 1 species